rnacentral:rRNA from 1 species
CGGUUAAGUUAGAAAGGGCGCACGGUGGAUGCCUUGGCACUAGGAGCCGAUGAAGGACGGGACGAACACCGAUAUGCUUCGGGGAGCUGUAAGCAAGCUUUGAUCCGGAGAUUUCCGAAUGGGGAAACCCACCACUCGUAAUGGAGUGGUAUCCAUAUCUGAAUACAUAGGGUAUGAGAAGGCAGACCCGGGGAACUGAAACAUCUAAGUACCCGGAGGAAGAGAAAGCAAAUGCGAUUCCCUGAGUAGCGGCGAGCGAAACGGGACCAGCCCAAACCAAGAGGCUUGCCUCUUGGGGUUGUAGGACACUCUGUACGGAGUUACAAAGGAACGAGGUAGAUGAAGAGGUCUGGAAAGGCCCGCCAUAGGAGGUAACAGCCCUGUAGUCAAAACUUCGUUCUCUCCUGAGUGGAUCCUGAGUACGGCGGAACACGUGAAAUUCCGUCGGAAUCCGGGAGGACCAUCUCCCAAGGCUAAAUACUCCCUAGUGACCGAUAGUGAACCAGUACCGUGAGGGAAAGGUGAAAAGCACCCCGGAAGGGGAGUGAAAGAGAUCCUGAAACCGUGUGCCUACAAGUAGUCAGAGCCCGUUAACGGGUGAUGGCGUGCCUUUUGUAGAAUGAACCGGCGAGUUACGAUCCCGUGCAAGGUUAAGCAGAAGAUGCGGAGCCGCAGCGAAAGCGAGUCUGAAUAGGGCGAAUUGAGUACGUGGUCGUAGACCCGAAACCAGGUGAUCUACCCAUGUCCAGGGUGAAGUUCAGGUAACACUGAAUGGAGGCCCGAACCCACGCACGUUGAAAAGUGCGGGGAUGAGGUGUGGGUAGGGGUGAAAUGCCAAUCGAACCUGGAGAUAGCUGGUUCUCUCCGAAAUAGCUUUAGGGCUAGCCUCAAGGUAAGAGUCUCGGAGGUAGAGCACUGAUUGGACUAGGGGCCCCUACCGGGUUACCGAAUUCAGUCAAACUCCGAAUGCCGAUGACUUAUCCUUGGGAGUCAGACUGCGAGUGAUAAGAUCCGUAGUCGAAAGGGAAACAGCCCAGACCGCCAGCUAAGGUCCCAAAGUAUACGUUAAGUGGAAAAGGAUGUGGAGUUGCUUAGACAACCAGGAUGUUGGCUUAGAAGCAGCCACCAUUUAAAGAGUGCGUAAUAGCUCACUGGUCGAGUGACUCUGCGCCGAAAAUGUACCGGGGCUAAACGUAUCACCGAAGCUGCGGACUGUUCUUCGAACAGUGGUAGGAGAGCGUUCUAAGGGCUGUGAAGCAAGACCGGAAGGACUUGUGGAGCGCUUAGAAGUGAGAAUGCCGGUAUGAGUAGCGAAAGAGGGGUGAGAAUCCCCUCCACCGAAUGCCUAAGGUUUCCUGAGGAAGGCUCGUCCGCUCAGGGUUAGUCGGGACCUAAGCCGAGGCCGAAAGGCGUAGGCGAUGGACAACAGGUUGAUAUUCCUGUACCACCUCCUCACCAUUUGAGCAAUGGGGGGACGCAGGAGGAUAGGGUAAGCGCGGUAUUGGAUAUCCGCGUCCAAGCAGUUAGGCUGGGAAAUAGGCAAAUCCGUUUCCCGUGAAGGCUGAGCUGUGAUGGCGAGCGAAUUAUAGUAGCGAAGUUCCUGAUUCCACACUGCCAAGAAAAGCCUCUAGCGAGGUGAGAGGUGCCCGUACCGCAAACCGACACAGGUAGGCGAGGAGAGAAUCCUAAGGUGAUCGAGAGAACUCUCGUUAAGGAACUCGGCAAAAUGACCCCGUAACUUCGGGAGAAGGGGUGCUCUGUUAGGGUGCAAGCCCGAGAGAGCCGCAGUGAAUAGGCCCAGGCGACUGUUUAGCAAAAACACAGGUCUCUGCGAAGCCGUAAGGCGAAGUAUAGGGGCUGACGCCUGCCCGGUGCUGGAAGGUUAAGAGGAGCGCUUAGCGUAAGCGAAGGUGCGAAUUGAAGCCCCAGUAAACGGCGGCCGUAACUAUAACGGUCCUAAGGUAGCGAAAUUCCUUGUCGGGUAAGUUCCGACCCGCACGAAAGGCGCAACGAUCUGGGCACUGUCUCAACGAGAGACUCGGUGAAAUUAUAGUACCUGUGAAGAUGCAGGUUACCCGCGACAGGACGGAAAGACCCCGUGGAGCUUUACUGCAGCCUGAUAUUGAAUGUUGGUACAGCUUGUACAGGAUAGGUAGGAGCCUUGGAAACCGGAGCGCCAGCUUCGGUGGAGGCAUCGGUGGGAUACUACCCUGGCUGUAUUGACCUUCUAACCCGCCGCCCUUAUCGGGCGGGGAGACAGUGUCAGGUGGGCAGUUUGACUGGGGCGGUCGCCUCCUAAAAGGUAACGGAGGCGCCCAAAGGUUCCCUCAGAAUGGUUGGAAAUCAUUCGCAGAGUGUAAAGGCACAAGGGAGCUUGACUGCGAGACCUACAAGUCGAGCAGGGACGAAAGUCGGGCUUAGUGAUCCGGUGGUUCCGCAUGGAAGGGCCAUCGCUCAACGGAUAAAAGCUACCCCGGGGAUAACAGGCUUAUCUCCCCCAAGAGUCCACAUCGACGGGGGAGGUUUGGCACCUCGAUGUCGGCUCAUCGCAUCCUGGGGCUGUAGUCGGUCCCAAGGGUUGGGCUGUUCGCCCAUUAAAGCGGUACGCGAGCUGGGUUCAGAACGUCGUGAGACAGUUCGGUCCCUAUCCGUCGCGGGCGCAGGAAAUUUGAGAGGAGCUGUCCUUAGUACGAGAGGACCGGGAUGGACGCACCGCUGGUGUACCAGUUGUUCUGCCAAGGGCAUCGCUGGGUAGCUAUGUGCGGACGGGAUAAGUGCUGAAAGCAUCUAAGCAUGAAGCCCCCCUCAAGAUGAGAUUUCCCAUUCCGCAAGGAAGUAAGAUCCCUGAAAGAUGAUCAGGUUGAUAGGUCUGAGGUGGAAGUGUGGCGACACAUGGAGCUGACAGAUACUAAUCGAUCGAGGACUUAACCAAUUU